rnacentral:rRNA from 1 species
GAUGCAACGCGAAGAACCUUACCUGGUCUUGACAUCCACGGAAGUUUUCAGAGAUGAGAAUGUGCCUUCGGGAACCGUGAGACAGGUGCUGCAUGGCUGUCGUCAGCUCGUGUUGUGAAAUGUUGGGUUAAGUCCCGCAACGAGCGCAACCCUUAUCCUUUGUUGCCAGCGGUCCGGCCGGGAACUCAAAGGAGACUGCCAGUGAUAAACUGGAGGAAGGUGGGGAUGACGUCAAGUCAUCAUGGCCCUUACGACCAGGGCUACACACGUGCUACAAUGGCGCAUACAAAGAGAAGCGAUCUCGCGAGAGCAAGCGGACCUCAUAAAGUGCGUCGUAGUCCGGAUUGGAGUCUGCAACUCGACUCCAUGAAGUCGGAAUCGCUAGUAAUCGUGGAUCAGAAUGCCACGGUGAAUACGUUCCCGGGCCUUGUACACACCGCCCGUCACACCAUGGGAGUGGGUUGCAAAAGAAGUAGGUA